GGUGGGCGUUCUGGUUCGUUUUCGAGUUUGUUUGGGAUUUCGUGUUCGGUUCAGAUCUUUGAGGAUUCAGUUCAGAUUUGGAUAACCAAUUUAAAUUGGUUUGUUUUAAAUAUUUGGAUAGAGAAUUAAUAAUUAUUUAAGUAUUUUUGGAGUUUUGAGUAUAUUUUAACUAUUUUAGAUAUUUAUGUUUUAUUAUUUGUAUAUAUUUUCAUGUAUUUAAACGAACGUAAAAGUAUCAUAUAUAUAUUCUGGAUGUUUUUAUAUAUAUUAAAUCUAAAAAUAAUUAAUAUAUAUAACUAUAUAAAUCUAUUUUGGAUAUCCAAAAUACUUCGGUUCGGAUUGGAUCAGGUUUCAGUUCUUCAAAUACCAAAAUUUUGAAUAAUUCGGAUAUUUAAUCAAUUUCGCUUCGGAUUUGCUACUACUUAUUUGGAUUGGGAUCGGUUCGAUUCUUCGAAUUCGAGUUUUUUGCCUAACCCUAAAUAGUGACAUAAAAAAUAAAUAGCAUCAUAUUUUUUUUUUAAAACAUCCGCGCGGACGCGUGGAUCAAAAUCUAGUUCUGCUAUUAUAAGAGAAUUCUUAUUUAAAAUUUUUUUUUUUUGUAAACUGGCUUGUUCUUAUUUAAAAUUUUGAUUAAAACAUAAUCAAGAAGACGUCAAGCAAAAGAUAACAAAAACAGUUGUUCUUUCCCACUCAUUGUCAC
rnacentral:lncRNA from 1 species